UACGGAGGGGGCUAGCGUUGUUCGGAAUUAUUGGGCGUAAAGGGUGCGUAGGCGGUUUGGUAAGUCUUAUGUGAAAUCUACAGGCUCAACUUGUAGUCUGCAUGAGAAACUGCCGGGCUUGAGUAUGGGAGAGGUGAGUGGAAUUCCUGGUGUAGCGGUGAAAUGCGCAGAUAUCAGGAGGAACACCGGUGGCGAAGGCGGGUCUCUGGGCCAAAACUGACGCUGAGGAGCGAAAGCGUGGGGAGCGAACAGG
rnacentral:rRNA from 1 species